rnacentral:tRNA from 1 species
UGCGGGAAUGGAGCAAUGGCGGCUCAACGGGUUCAUAUUCCGUUAAUCGGACAGGUUCAAAUCCUGCUCCCGCAACCA